AGCAUCUAUUUUAUUUCUUAGAUGCUUGAUUGAUGUUUUGCCCUACAUUUAUGUGUGCAGUUACUCUAGGAACUUAGCAAAUCUUGGUCUGAAGGUCAUUUUACCUCGAGAGAUUGGACAGCUUGCUUAUAUGCAUUCUCUGUUAGCAAAAAGUCUGAAAGUUUGUAGCAUGUAUGUUGAGGAAGCACAUGACCUGAGACUUUUGAGCUAUCGAUUUAGGCACAUCCGUUAGAAUGUAGCAUGAUUUUACUUGGAAUCUAGUUGGAUACAUGGCAUGUGUUUCUUCCUGAAUCUUAGGGACUUCUGAAAUAUUUUAGUGAUAAAGGGUGCGAAAUGGUCUGUCAGGUUUCAAGAUGUUAUUUGUGUGUAUGUUAUGUACUUGUGUUACUUGUGAAAUGGUGUUUAGCCUUCAAUCUAUUCGGAUAUAUUUUUCUUCCAUCCAUAUGGCUUACUGCACAAUAACUUUUUCUAUGGUAUUAUCCCUACAGAUAAUAGGUGAUUUACGGGAGCUGAAGGUGUUGGAUCUGAGGUUCCGUCAGAGAUAAAUGAACAUUUUAUCCCUGGGGUUCAUGCUCACCAAGACAGGACUUCGUCAAGUAGGAUCUCCACUGCAAUGUUUGUCUAAUCGCAUAUGUGAGUGUUAAACUUGUAAUUCGUGCAAGGAUUGAGAUGAAGUUCAAAUAAAGCAGAGGUUAGUUAGUGCAGCUUGAUCUUGGGUAAAAGAAAACCUGCAACCAUAUGAUGUCAAUGAUAUCUGAAAUAUUUCAAAUUUAUCUGCUUCAACUUAAGAAGUGUCAGAAAAAGUUAAAACUUCUUUUAUAAAAUAUCCCUCUGCAAAAAUGGUAGAUCGCAUUCUAAUCUUCUGUAGCAGUCUUAUGGCUACCUCGAUACGGAAAAUUGAUGUAUGGAUGUUAAAUGCUCCUUUUACUUGAACACCGAUAAGGCAGUAACUAUGAAGACCGGUGUGAAUAUUUUGUAUAGGAGGACUAAUUAUAUAAUGCAACUCUGGAGUUCAAUACUUUAGUCUAUGGCAUGAGACACCAUUAAUCGGAGCAGCGAUUUGUUCUCUGGUUCUGUCCCUGUCAGCUGCAAUAUUUCUUUGUGCUACCACCGCUGCAGGAAGACUAGCAUUGCCAUGCCCUUGUCUUCAAGUAGGCAAUUCCAGACCACUAUCCUGGCAUGACUUGUGAAGAUUUCAGCAACAUAUACAUAACUGGUACACUACCUGGAUGUAUAUUGUAUGAAGGAACCUUCCCAUGCGGAGCGGAAAUAGCUGCUGCGCCUGCAUGGAUAAAACAGGCCCAUGGGUGGUCUCCUAUAGCUGAAGCACAAUUCAAGAAUAAGGUAGCAUGGGAGGGUUAACUGAAUUGGGUACAGUGAUGCAUGGGAGUAGCAUACUAUCUCAACCACCCGCGCCAGCAGAAUCCUCCUAUGAACCUAAGAAAUUUGAAUUCUUGGAUCCUGAUGCAUAUACCUGACCGCAAAAUAACGCUUCCAAGGUUUCAGACAUCAGUUUUGGUGGUGACUAGAAAGUCUGACAGCGAAGAUGGACUCAAUGAGCCUGACGAGUGUGUAUAAGCUUGCCUUGCUUCUUCUUAAGACAAUGUCUGGAAGGCAUUUGUUUUCCAACAAGAGACUCCUGAUUCUAUGGGUGCACACAGGCGAAGAGCCCUUGACAGGUAUGGUAGACUCAAUCAGUCCCCGAGGAGCCGGUCAGAGCACUGACAGAGCUGGUAAAAUCGUGCAUAAAUGGAACCCCUGGCCGAGACCGAUAGUGGUUGCGCAUUGUGGUGGGCUGAACUUGAAAACCUCACAUCGAGAAAUAUAUAGUCCAUCGUGGAAUUUGCCUUGCAGCAAUUCUGUCCUUUUGAUAGAACGAAUAUAGAAAUUUGUUUACAGUUUGAUGGUUUUGCUCUUUAGGCCAGGCCGUACAGUUGUACAGAUAUGCCUGCAC